GAGGGACGAAAAUGACGGUACCUCCAGAAGAAGCUCCGGCCAACUACGUGCCAGCAGCCGCGGUAAUACGUAGGGAGCAAACGUUGUCCGGAUUUUAUCGGGCGUAAAGGGCUCGUAUGCGGUUCAGCAAGUCGGUCGUGAAAGCCCGGGGCUCAACCCCGGGAUGGCCGCUCGAAACUGUUGUGACUAGAGUCCGGUAGAGCGUGAGUGGAAUGCUCAGUGUAGCGGUGGAAUGCGCAGAUAUUGAGAGGAACACCAUUAUCGAAGGCGGCUCACUGGGCCGAUACUGACGCUGAGGAGCGAAAGCGUGGGGAGCAAACAGGAUUAGAUACCCUGGUAGUACACGCCGUAACCGAUUAACGCUAGGUGUAGCGGAUGUA
rnacentral:rRNA from 1 species